UUUUAUCGUGUAUGUAAUAAUUUAUAAUAACACUUUUAACAUCAAAUUAAAGUAUUAAAAGUGUUAAUUGCGUGAUUUUGUAUCAAAAAUGUAUUAUUGACUGAAGCACGUCAUUAUUUUCCCUCUGUGAACCUCUGACAGUCUGAUAGCUUAUGACUACGUCACAUAGUAACCGGUGUUAUGAUGACGUUUUUGAGGUUCCAAUUGGGGAUAAAAGCGUCGUAUAUACCCCGGCAGUUUCCUGAAUAUAUACUGACAUCUCUGUGUUGUUAUCCAAUCAGAAACCUCGAUACAUUUGUAAUCCGU
rnacentral:lncRNA from 1 species